ACACGUGAGGAACCUAUCUUGUGCUCUGGGAUAACCGCGGGAAACCGUGGCUAAUACCGGAUGUUCCAUCGUCACCGCAUGGUGGUGUUGGGAAAGCUCUGGCGGCACUUGGGGGUCUCGCGGCCUAUCAGCUUGUUGGUGAGGUAAUGGCUCACCAAGGCGACGACGGGUAGCUGGAGUGAGAGCUCGAUCAGCCACACUGGGACUGAGACACGGCCCAGACUCCUACGGGAGGCAGCAGUGGAGAAUCUUGCACAAUGGGCGCAAGCCUGAUGCAGCCACGCCGCGUGAGGGAAGACGGCCUUCGGGUUGUAAACCUCUUUCAGGAGGGAAGAAGCGAAAGUGACGGUACCUCCAGAAGAAGCCCCGGCCAACUACGUGCCAGCAGCCGCGGUAAUACGUAGGGGGCGAGCGUUGUCCGGAAUCAUUGGGCGUAAAGCGCGUGUAGGCGGCCCGUUAAGUCGGAUGUGAAAUCCCGGAGCUCAACUCCGGAACUGCAUCUGAUACUGGCGGGCUUGAGGCAGGUAGAGGAGAGUGGAAUUCCCGGUGUAGCGGUGGAAUGCGCAGAUAUCGGGAGGAACACCAGCGGCGAAGGCGGCUCUCUGGGCCUGACCUGACGCUGAGACGCGAAAGCGUGGGGAGCGAACAGGAUUAGAUACCCUGGAAUCACU
rnacentral:rRNA from 1 species